rnacentral:rRNA from 1 species
CCUACGGGAGGCAGCAGUGAGGAAUAUUGGUCAAUGGGCGCGAGCCUGAACCAGCCAAGUAGCGUGAAGGAUGAAUGCCCUACGGGCUGUAAAUUUUAUUUAUAAAGGCAUAAAGUGAGGCACGUGUGCCUUUUUGUAUGUACUUUAUGAAUAAGGAUUGGCUAACUCCGUGCCAGCAGCCGCGGUAAUACGGAGGGUUCGGGGGUUAUACGGAUUUAUUGGGUUUAAGGGGAGCGUAGGCCGGUCUUUAAGCGUGCUGUGAAAUUUUGUGGCUCAACCAUGAGAGUGCGGCGCGAACUGGAGACCUUGAGUGCGCGGAAGGCAGGCGGAAUUCGUGGUGUAGCGGUGAAAUGCAUAGAUAUCACGCAGAACUCCGAUCGCGAAGGCAGCCUACCGGCGCGCAACUGACGCUCAUGCACGAAAGCGUGGGUAUCGAACAGGAUUAGAUACCCUGGUAGUC